GAAGGUUAGUCUGCUCAAAACCUCCGCAUAGUCUGUCCAAGGAAUGUUUACUUCCAACAGAGAUUGAUAAUAAGCGAUUCCAUGAAGUUGAGCUUGAAAUAGAGACCGGGCGCAUGGAGGUGGAGAAAAUUGGGCUUCGUGUGGUAUAAAAGCAAGACAUUGAAGAUCCCAAUUGAGAUGCUUUCUUCAGUUGGUGAUGAAAUCUAGGGUUUGAAGAUCCCAACCAAAAUAUGCGAAGCCCAUGAUGAGGAUGAUGGGGAAUUCUUUUCUUCACUUCUUUUACCUAAAUUUACAAAAGACACCUUGCCUGCUUCAGAUGUUGAUUUUGCUCUAUGAUUUGCACACCUACGUAUAAUUGAAGUUAGA